rnacentral:rRNA from 2 species
GGGUUGUGAGGUUAAGCGACUAAGCGUACACGGUGGAUGCCCUGGCAGUCAGAGGCGAUGAAGGACGUGCUAAUCUGCGAUAAGCGUCGGUAAGGUGAUAUGAACCGUUAUAACCGGCGAUUUCCGAAUGGGGAAACCCAGUGUGUUUCGACACACUAUCAUUAACUGAAUCCAUAGGUUAAUGAGGCGAACCGGGGGAACUGAAACAUCUAAGUACCCCGAGGAAAAGAAAUCAACCGAGAUUCCCCCAGUAGCGGCGAGCGAACGGGGAGCAGCCCAGAGCCUGAAUCAGUGUGUGUGUUAGUGGAAGCGUCUGGAAAGGCGCGCGAUACAGGGUGACAGCCCCGUACACAAAAAUGCACAUACUGUGAGCUCGAUGAGUAGGGCGGGACACGUGGUAUCCUGUCUGAAUAUGGGGGGACCAUCCUCCAAGGCUAAAUACUCCUGACUGACCGAUAGUGAACCAGUACCGUGAGGGAAAGGCGAAAAGAACCCCGGCGAGGGGAGUGAAAAAGAACCUGAAACCGUGUACGU